AGGACCCUGGAAUGGGCACAAUGGGUGGAAUGGGAGGUGGUAUGGGAGGUGGCAUGUUCUAAUUCUCAGAAAAGUGCUUUACCAUUAUUAAUGAACUGUGACAGGAAGCUCAAGGCUAGGUUCCUCACCAAUAACUUCAGAGAAGUCAGUUGAAGAGAAUGACUGAAGAAAAGGCUGGUUGAUGUUUAAUAAAAUCACUAUAACCAUCAGUUACUGGUUUCAGUUGACAGUAUAUAAUGGUUUACUGCUGUCAUUGUCUAUGCCUACAGAUAAUUUAUUUUGUAUUUUUGAAUAAAGACAUUAGUACAUUCCUGAUACUGGGUGCAAGAGCCUUGUACCAAUGCACUG
rnacentral:lncRNA from 1 species